GGGCAAAACUCCAACCUUCCAUUAAGAAACGGAAUCUGGGAAACAUGUUUGGCUCUAAAAUUGAGCUUAAACAGGCUGCUUGAACCUCUUGACCUUGACCACAAAGAUUGAACUAGGAGGUUUAAAACACCAGAGACAGAAUUUAAAAUUUACUACUCCUACUACUGCCACCGUUAAUAACAAUAGUAAACAAUGUACUGCGUGCACGCAGCAUAUCCAGUUCUAAGAAGGAGUUUAUGAUCUCAUUGGAGAGAUAAGAUCUGCACAGUCCCUGGAGAACAUCAGGAUUGGAUACAGAAUGAAGAGCAGAAAUGGGCCAGAGGAGACACGGAAGUCCUGUGGAAAAUAACAAAAUGUUGCUUAACAUCUCAACACUCAAGAAAAAUGUGAAGCUGGGAAAGUAGACUUGGUGGUCUUCAGAACCUGCUGGUGCUAUGCUUGGUCUUCCACCACCACAGGGAAAACAGCCCCCCUCCAGCUUGCAAGGUUGCUUUUCAAGAGGCAGUCACCCCAGCAUCUCUCUACAUCAAAAUCUCUGCUAAAGCCAUGGCCCGGUGACCUUUCCCAAGCAGGUCAGCGAAGACUCUCAUAGCAUCACAGUUUGGGAGAAAAACACAGCCCAAGCCAGCACCCAAGUGCAAUGCUGGGUAAAUGCCUCUGGGAUUGGUCCAGGCCUGGUGCCAACUCCAUCAAGUUCUCACUUUAAUAAAAGCCUCUCAGUUACUCAAGCAAUAAAUAUUUCAUUUUUUUUUCCUGUGUCAACACUGCAUCAGGUACCAGCAGUGCAAGAAGAAAGGCGCAGCCCUGACUCGCUGCUGGGACUGGUGAGUGACCACCCAGAGCACUGCAUGCAUGUUGUUCUCGCUGCUCAUGCUGCUUUGUGCACUGUCUAUGGUCCUGUCUUAUUUACUGGGUAAGCUCCUGGAGAACCGAGAUCACAUCUCAUUUUUCUAUCACUUCAUCCCCAAACAUAAUGGAGUAGCUCAAGCACUUUGAGAGCAAGGCUGAUGUCUGCUAUUGCUUCUUCCCUGUCUCCCAUAUCAUCCAGGAAAGUUAUUUAUUUAUACGGAGUACUCCACAAAGCACCACACACAUCUACAUUUUUAAAAUAAAAAUAUCAGCACAUCUUGCCCACAUAUGGCUAUGUGUUCUUCUGAGGCAAAGCCAAUUAUGUUAAUGGCCUAUUAACAUUCUACUGGUAAAAGUGAAGAAAAACAAAGAAAGAGAUUAAAGAAGGCACUAAGUAAUUUCCUUCUUAGUAAGUACUACUUUGUGCCAGCCACUUUGUCAGGUUCUAAUCCAUUGAGUUUACUAUUGUCUGGAUUCCUCAGAAGGUUCCUGGAGGGCCACAUUGUGAUAGAGGUCUCAUAAUUCUACCUCUACUACUAGAACUAAGUUUUACAGAAGAGUGAAAUUCAGGAAAGCAUCUGCUUCCAAUGGGCUUUAGGUUGACCCUGCAGGUGAUCUUUCCCAAGGCCAGAAAGCUUAGUGACUAUUUCAUUGACCCGGAUCCAGUAUGCUAUGCCACCAUCUAAACCCAAGGCUUAGGUCUGCUGAGACAUAAGACAACUUACAAUUAUAGCUAAGCUGUAUUGAACACUUAUUAUUUUCUU
rnacentral:lncRNA from 1 species